ACCGUCCCGUUUUUAUUUUCACAUAUGCUUUCACAAGUUAAUGCAAGUCGGGGCGGAGCGAUAAUUUUUGGAGGCCUAAUCACGACCAUAGCUAAAGCCAUAGGACUAGGACCUCGAUUAGAAAAUUUAGAACAUACUCCACCUCGGUUAAUCGAUGAAGAUAUGGUAAGGAGUAUGAACCUAGUAAGGUUAAGAGAAGAUGGU
rnacentral:lncRNA from 1 species